rnacentral:rRNA from 1 species
AGACGUCUACAUUAGAUACCCCCGUAGUCCCAGCCGUAAACUAUGCGCGUUAGGUGUAUCGGUGACCACGAGUUACCGAGGUGCCGAAGGGAAACCGUGAAACGUGCCGCCUGGGAAGUACGGUCGCAAGGCUGAAACUUAAAGGAAUUGGUGGGGGAGCACCACAACGGGUGGAGCCUGCGGUUUAAUUGGACUCAACGCCGGGAAGCUCACCGGAUAAGACAGCGGAAUGAUUGCCGGGCUGAAGACUCUGCAUGACUAGCUG